rnacentral:pre_miRNA from 1 species
GGGGGGAGGCCGGAUCCUGGGCUGUGUCCUGGCACCCUGUGCUCCCCGUCUGCGUUGUUGGAUUCGCACUCCCGGUAUCGCAGCCCCCU